UACGUGGGGGGCAAGCGUUGUUCGGAAUUACUGGGCGUAAAGGGCUCGUAGGUGGCCAACUAAGUCAGACGUGAAAUCCCUCAGCUUAACUGGGGAACUGCGUCUGAUACUGGAUGGCUUGAGUUCGGGAGAGGGAUGCGGAAUUCCAGGUGUAGCGGUGAAAUGCGUAGAUAUCUGGAGGAACACCGGUGGCGAAGGCGGCAUCCUGGACCGACACUGACACUGAGGAGCGAAAGCCAGGGAAGCAAACGGG
rnacentral:rRNA from 1 species